AUGAAUGACAUGAGGAAAGUUUAUUUUUUUACUCUUGCACCUGCAUGGUUCAGGUGCCCCGUGUUUGUCACAGCCCCAAGGACGCCACCGGCCCGGCCCAGGCCCAGGCCCUGCAGCAGCCCUGGGGCCACCAGCCUUUGCCCCACUGGGCCUUGGCAGGGCCUGGCAGGGCUGUGGGGAGCUGGAGCCCGGCCCUGGCCCCACGGAGGUGCCGGGGCUGCCCGGUGCCCCGCUGCUGGUGGGGCGCUGGGCCGGGCCAUGCCUGCCCCCCCCAGCCCCCGGGCCGCCCCAGGCUUUAGGCCCCAGCUGCGCCACAGGGAGGCUGUUUGCUCAUGGCAGCCAAGGAAAGCGGUACUGUUUGUGUUCUGCAGUUGUGAAAUCCACCCCCAUCUCUAUUCAGGCUGAAAACAUGUCUCAGUAUGUCCGCAUUAUCACAGAAUGGAAGCCAUGCUCUCACCGCCCCUAUUAAAUAAGGCAGGUAGUUUAUUUUCUUCCUUUAGCUUCCCAUGUCAUGCAGUUUUGGCAUUCCCAAAAGCCUUCUCAGAGACUUUCCCUUUCUAAAGAGGAGGAUUGGCUGCAAUUAAAAGAUCUCCCUCAUGUACAGCAGGAAUUACUGUGUGAAUUGCCUACUCCUGCUUUGGUCACGUACAUAAUGCUUGGUUGUCCCUGAAAUACAGUACUGGAGAGUAUAUACAUCUAUAAACCUACACUUUGUUACUGUGCUUGAGGUAAGUAUUGAAUUAAGUAUUCACUGCAGUAUCCAGCAUUGCUCUACUCUGUCAUUUACUGUCAUUGUAGAAGAGAUGGUUCCAGAUUGUUGUAUUUGGGGGUGGGUGGUAUUGCAGUUCUCUCUUUCUUUUUUUUUUUUUUUUAAGGAAAAAUAAUUAUACUAUCUAAGCUUUCUUUGUAUUUCAGACUCACGUAGAAACCUUUAUUUUUGGAGACUAAUUCUGGCGUUCCUAUGUAGUUCGCUGCUCAGGGAUGCUUAUGAUUACAGUUACUCUGCAAAAUACAAUGUAACCAAGAAUGAAACCAUGGACACUAACAAUUCCAUACUUUUGGAAAAAAAAAAAAAAAGUGACAAAUAUAUUGCUACCUUUCAGAAGUCAUAAAAUUUACAAACAAUCACUUAAAUGUGUUAAUAGCUUUAAGGAUACAAAGAGUUCAGAUAGCUUCCUGAGGUUAUCUCAAAGGAAUUGAACUUUUUGUACAAGAUGGGAUGGAAGUUCAGCAUAUGAAAGAGACAACCAUAAUGUUAAUAAGAGAUAAAGAUGUUUCUCAUAACCCUGUUUGAAAGUUUGUGAUGAAAUGUUACUAGUUUUUAAGUUGCUGGUAAGCCCCACAAGACACCGACAUGGCUUACUGAUAAUCAUAGAAAAUUGUCUUUCAUCUAGAUUUUUGUGUUUUCAUAAAAGACUUUUCAUGCGUUCAUAUCAAAUUACUGGUCCCUUCAGCUCAAACUUCAGAAGGGUUGUGGUUACCUUUCUUACUGAAGAACUAUCAUAAUGAAUAACAAUGAGCAAAGGGAGGUUGUCCAUGGAUGGUAGGGUAGUUUCAUUACCAAAAAAUACUGGUUUUGUUAUUUUAGGUGUCUUUCAGAAAGCAUGACAUAUAUUUAUUAGGAAAAAAUCCCUCAAGAUCAAAACCUGAUAAUAUGUGAAGCAUGAUUUGCAAUUACUUAGCUGUGUGUGUAUGUACUAUUUCUAUGUACUUAACAGGAAAUAAUAAAAAGUUAGUUUUCCACA
ensembl:lncRNA